GACGAACGCUGGCGGCGUGCUUAACACAUGCAAGUCGAACGGAAAGGCCCUGCUUUUGUGGGGUGCUCGAGUGGCGAACGGGUGAGUAACACGUGAGUAACCUGCCCUUGACUUUGGGAUAACUUCAGGAAACUGGGGCUAAUACCGGAUAGGAGCUCCUGCUGCAUGGUGGGGGUUGGAAAGUUUCGGCGGUUGGGGAUGGACUCGCGGCUUAUCAGCUUGUUGGUGGGGUAGUGGCUUACCAAGGCUUUGACGGGUAGCCGGCCUGAGAGGGUGACCGGCCAAAUUGGGACUGAGAUACGGCCCAGACUCCUACGGGGGGCAGCAGUGGGGAAUAUUGCACAAGGGGCGGAAGCCGGAGGCAGCAACGCCGCGUGCGGGAUGACGGCCUUCGGGUUGUAAACCGCUUUCGCCUGUGACGAAGCGUGAGUGACGGUAAUGGGAAAAGAGGCACCGGCGAACUACGU
rnacentral:rRNA from 1 species